rnacentral:lncRNA from 1 species
GCUGAACCAAAUUUCGUAGUGAAUGGUGAUUCCUUGAAUUUAGAUGGUCUUUUAAUUCUUGAAACAUUCACAAGAGUUUGUUCUUUAUUUGCAGAUGGAUGAACAAUAAUGCUUCUUUUCAGAUUCACAUAUUCGUUAAGAAUGGGUAGCAACUCAUCAGGAAUUGUUACUUGGGAAUCACGUAAAUUUGGUUGAAACUUCCCUUCUUCAAAAACUGCUUCAUGGAUAUGGACUUCUGAAUUAAUUUGUUCAUCCAAAUUUGAUUUCUCACAAUCAGCCAUUGAUGUAUUUUCAAUUAUUUCUGCAGCCGCUUCAGUG